UUGAGCUCUCAUGGGUACCAUGGUAUUCAUGGCUCAAAAGAGCCCCUAAAGCCUCUAAGGAGCACAAGCCUCCAAAUCCCUAAGCCAAAAUCCAAACCCUAGAGGAAAAACCUACAAAACUUACCUCUAGUCCAAGCUCCACCAAGAUUCUUCUUGUUGGAGAGCUCCUAGAACCUCCAAAGCAUCAAAUCCACCUUCUUCCUCAAGUUCUUCUUCUUCUUCUCCAAGCCCUAGAGGGAUUCUAGAGAGAGAAAGUGAGGAAAUAAGAGAGGAGGAGGAGAAUGGCUGUGGGAGAGAGGGGUUGGGCCAUCUAUAGUGUUGUAACAAUUGCACUUAAGCCCCUCCACUUGUUUCCUCUUGAACUGCCCAGACUGGGCAUUUUUCGCCUUCGGGGACCGGUCUCCCCGACCAGGGACCGGUUCCCGAACGGGGGGGUUUCUAGGACUUAGCCAAAUUUUGAGUCUCUCAGCUGUUGCGCAGCGAGGGACCGGUCUGCCCGUCAGGGACCGGUCUCCCGAGGACCGGUCUCACCACCCGGGACCGGUUGCCUCAGGACUUCCUGGCAGGCUACGCGUACGGGGACCGGUCUCUCCUUCAGGGACCGGUCCCCGAGAGCACAAAAUCUGGGACUUAGCCAGAUUUUCAGAUUACUCUCUCGGGUCCCUUCUAGCUCCACUUAUGGGCUCUAAUGUGCUUAGGGUCCACUCAAACUCGUUCAAUUCCGCGUUCCGCUCAUUUUGACGGAACUCGGCACGAUUUACGAGGGGAUGUGGUAUGUUACAUUCUCCACCCCUAAAUUCAGUUUCGUCCGCGAAGCUACUAAGAUUGAAAUUUAAAUUUCAUAUCUCACUUCGGAUCCUCGAAGAGGUGAGGAUAACGCUCCCUCAUCUCGCUCUCGAGCUCCCACGUUUCUUCGCGAUCAUCAUGUUCGCACCAAUGAAUCUUGACAUAUGGGAUUUCGCGGUUCCAGAGCUUUCGUACCUCCCGAUCGACAAUAUACGCCGGGAACUCCUCAUAAGUCAUAUUUUCUUGAAGCUCUAUCGGUAUAUACGAGAGAAUAUGAUCCGGGUCGUACACAUACUUGCGGAGUUGAGAUACAUGGAAUACAUCAUGUACUCCCGCGAGCCUCGGUGGUAAUGCUAACUUGUAGGCCAUCGCACCAACUCGUUCCAAAAUCUCAAAGGGUCCGAUAUAGCGGGGACUCAACUUCCCGCGAACACCGAACCGCUUAACUCCUCGCAUCGGCGAUACUUUUAGAAAUACGCGGUCUCCUACUGCGAACUCAAUAUCCUUUCGCCGCCUGUCGGCAUAACUUUUGUGCCUUGAUUGCGCCGUUACUAACCUUUGUCGGGCAAGGCGUACCUUCUCUUCCGCCUCCCGCACCACAUCCGGGCCAAGAACUAUUUUCUCGCCCACAUCGCUCCAGUGUAUCGGCGAGCGACACUUCUUUCCAUACAGGGCCUCGAAUGGCGCCAUCGCAAUACUUUCUUAAUAGCUAUUAUUAUAUGCGAAUUCCGCCAUCGGUAAAUGAUCGUGCCAUCCGCCCUUGUAAUCAAGCACACACGCUCGAAGCAUGUCCUCAAGUAUUUGGAUUGUCCUUUCCGAUUGACCGUCACUUUGAGGAUGAAAUGCCGUACUAAAAUCGAGCUGCGCUUAUUCUAACGCAUCUUGUAACUCUUCAAAAUGAAUUAACCUAGUCUCGAUCCAAUACGAUAGAUAUGAACGCCAUGCAAUCUCCGACCUUCGUCGAUAUAUGACUUGAGCUAGCUUAUAGCCACCAAGGUGUGGAUCCGGCCAAAAGUUGUUCCGACUUUGUAACCGGUUCCACAACCACCCAUAUACGCUGCAUUCCACCUUGCGACUUAGACACCUCCAUCACAAAUCCAUUGCGUGUUUUUUCCCAUUUCCACACGGUAUAGUAGAGCCUCUGCUAAUUCUACAUCGGCUGAUAAUCGACCGCUGCCGCUUCACCUUCAUGUGAGCAGCGCCACGAACUCCACCUAUACACCUCUUCAUGCCCGCCACCAUAAUGGAAUUCAAAUCAUAAUACAUUUUUUGUGCCGCCCGGGGAUGACUGAUAAUUUAGAAUCGAUGCCUUCUCAUAAUCGCCUCUAUUAAAAAAAAUAACAUGUCGUUUGGUUGGGCACGCACACAACGACCCCGAAUCGUAGUGCCCAUCGGUACUCCAAUCCAAAACCAUCGGCACUACCGUCAACUUGCCGCACCUUUUGAGAAACUCAUCCGAUGAAUUGUAAUACUUAAUUUUACUCCAAUAAUGUUGGUUCACAAACCAAGUGCGAGUGUGCCAGGUACAUUUCCCGGCGCCAACAGACUUCUAUCCAAACGUGCAUUCUCCUUUUCCAAUGCCGGACGGCUUACUCUCCGCCGCAAAUUUUCGCUCGACUUUCUACUUAGAGCCAUCGCUUUCAGACUUAGCUUUUCCGGUGUGGUAAACGUGACGUCGUAAUACUUUAACAAACUCUAACCACACGCCGCUGCCGCAAGUUUAACUCCUUCUGUGAACAAAUAUGAUACUAUAAUCGGUGUAAUCUCACAAUGUCCCAUACAAAUAAUCCUCCACAGUUUUAAACGCGAUAGAACACCGCGCUAGCUCAAGAUCGGAUCGGUAAAUUUUUUCAUACUCUUCAACUGGCGCGAAGCAUAAGCUAGACUCGUCGUUCGCAUAAACAACACUCCGAACCGAGUAUGAGCAUCACGGUAUAACCACAAUAGUUUUCUUCCGGCUCGCAAAGCAACAUCCGGAGUUAUUCAAUCUUCUUUACUCUUCAAAACUCCGCCAACACUCGUGCUCAACACAAACUUCCCCCAUUAUGCGUUAAGGCUCGUUAGUGAUCGUAUCCUAGCACCUCACGAACACGCCGAUAAAUACCCAAGUCAAUGACUACAAUUCGCUACACUCGUCGGCGAGCAAAUCUUUAAUCGCUCAAACUUUCUUGGUCCAACCAGAUGCACUCUCGUACACUAACUGGCUAAAAAAGUAACCUCCGAAAGCCAAAACCGCAAUUUUCUCACUUUUCUAAAGCUUCUCGGAGUAUCUCCAACCAUCUUAAAAUGCUCUUCGUGUUCUCUCGCUCGAGAAAUACCAAACGUGCAAGAAUACCACUACGCAUCCGUCAAUAGCGACGGAAACUCUAUUCAUUAAUCCAUGAAUGCUGCUGCGCAUUUAUAAGCCCAACUGCAUCACGGUAACUCAUAAUGGCCCAUACCGCAGUACGUACUACUUUGUCACCGCUGUUGCGUAUCUCAAACUGAUGAUACCUGCCGAUGUAAUCAAUAUUCAAGUAUACUUGACCUUUGAACUGAUCGAUACAGGUCAUCAAUUCCUUGGCAAUAGGUAUUUUCUUGGAUCGUCAUUGGUUCAACUCCGCGAUAUUAUCAACGCAUGGCAGUCGAAGCGUGCCGUCUUUCUAUUAACAAAUAGGCACCGAGCUCCCAACGGACACGCCGUCCAUACGAAGCCUAUAGAGCAAUUUGUAACUGAGCUUCAAUUCCCUUAACUCCACGUGCCAUUCUGUCCGAGCUCGAAAUUGCGCCGCCCCGCCGGGAAUCAAAUCAGAUCACAACUCGGACUUCGAUCGGGGCAAUCGUAACUCCGGAAUACAUCCGGAACCCCCGCACAACUCACAUACUCUCCAAUUCCGGUACUCUUAUCGAGAGUCUACGAUGGCGCCAAGAGCUCUUACAGCCUGCAUGAUCAUCUUUUCCGGCAGCUCACCGUCGAUAUAAGUGGCUUGCAAAUCGCUUGCCCUUGCAUUCCCAGAUAAGACAAAAUCCUCUUGGUGGUUCACAAACAUCACCCUUCUUCACAUCAUAACAUCAUAAUACUUGAGAGCAUUGAUCCCCAAUAUACUCGAAUCCCCACAUUUCUCAACACUAGAGUCAUCGCAAUAAUCCAAUCGACUAAUUUAAGCAAAUGGCAGUCAAGACUCAUACUAAACUCGAUCGAUAAAUCCAGGAUGUUCACGCCGACCAAUAUCCUCAUUAUGAGUGAAUCUCUAUAUAUAUAGUCUGCAAAGAACAUAAUGAAUAAUAUGAUCACCCGUAUCAAUAGGCUUAGCCUCAUGCCUUUGAUCAGAAUAAUACCGUGCCAGUACGUCGUCGAAACGAUGAUUGUCUCCCUCCAACUGAGUGCAAUAAAACACCCCCCGCGGCCCACUAGUGCCGAGAAGCCUGCAUUGACGUCGCGGAAUCGUCCACAUUUCGCGGUUGCAUCCGCUCCGCCAGCUGUGCUGCUGUAUGUACUGACGCAUGAAUGACCGCGGACAGCCCCGCCGCGCACUCUCGACUCACUGUCCCCCUGUUGCCACACUGUAACACCGCCUUCCUGUGGACAGCGGCCUCUAUUGCUCUCCCGCCGCAUAACGACACGGUAAUAAUCUGACCCCGGUUGACUCCUACCUCCCCAUUGUGACGUUUGCACUGGUGGUGUUCCAGAACCGAUGCCUCCGCGUCCAUCUAUCCGCGCUUCUAGGCUAUCCCUUUCACCUUUCUCUCUCAAAGGUCUCGCGCUCCAAUCACCGCGAUUGCAUCCCGCGCUCACCCAAAGCUGCCGAUGAGACCUUACUCAUAGUUUCAGCGAAAGAUAAAUAACUUGAAAUCUCGGGUCCACCCGCUCAAAACACCUCCCUCGUCCCUAUCCGCAUGGACCAAGUCCGUAAGCAGUUAAUCAUAGUGCGUGAACCUCUUCAUACUGCCCUGCACAUGAUCGAUCUUCCUUGCCUCACUUUUCGAAAAUCCCCUUGAUUACUUUUCUCUCGGAAAAGUCCCAUAAGCCGCAUCCCCGAAACCCUUCUCCACACCAACAUAAUAAGCGGUCCUAAUCGAGCCAAACACUCUCUCCAACUAGCUCCGCACCAACACAACCGACUGACACAUCAAAACAAUGACCGGCACACAUGGAUUUACCUCUAGGAGGUGUAGAUUCUCACGAACAAAACCCCAAAAUAAACACCGCGACAACUCUCCUUCCUUCAUCCCAGAUUCCUUCAAGUCAGGGGGUUGAAGUUGGAGGGUUGAACCGAUUGAAGCCGUCAACCGCCGCAACGCGUACCUCCUGCUUCGCCUCAAGGCACAAUACACAAUAUGAAACGAAAGCCGACAUGCGCGGGAGGAAAGCGUCACCGGAGCCCCUCACACGCCUCAACACACACAACCCACCACACACAGGUUGCUAACAGGUGGCAGCCGUGGUGUAUCGCACCGCACCACACAUCACACACACCGCGGGCCACAACCGCCUGUUGCCCAUCCAUCUUCUGGAGCGUCUUAAGAGCAACUCUGCUCCUCUGUUGUCCGCUAGCCCGUUCAAAGCGCUACUUGGGCUCGCAAGCUUGCGUACAUUCGGUUCCGACCCGACGCCGUCUGCUCCCAGACUCCCGGGUUGUUACUUCGUCGGUACUCCCUUGUUGCCAUCGCCUCCUGCUGCCGCAUACCCCUCACAUUACACUCCGCCACUGACUCCUACACGUUCCAAGUACUACCACCAAUAAGCGAAAGCACAACCUAAUAUUUCCACUUUCGGUGUUAUGGUCGCCGCCCCACAAGUCCCUGCAAGUAGUACAAUAAUUAAGACCUCCAUAGUCCCUCCUACUUCUUUCAGAGAAGUGUUACAUCGAACCCAACUCACUCGCUUUCAGCAUAAAACCAAUUCUCACUCAAGCGUUCCUAAUCUUAGGUCCCCAACUAUGUUCUAGGUUCAUUCUAGAAUUGCUUUCACUUCGGCUCUGAUACUAUGAUAUGUAGUCACCCUCAAUCCCGGCGCAAUUUGUUCGGUUCGGGUCAGAUAACGAACCGAAACGACAGAGCCUCCCUUACCCAAGCUCUAAUCCCUCUAUAAAUACAAAUCACAAGUAAAUAAGCAAUAAUACAAGUUCACAGCACGGGGGGGACAACAACGAUAUCGAAAAUGCUCAAGCUAAAUAUACAUCCCACAUAUAUAUGAUUUCAUUUAAACCAAAUCCAGUAAAAACAUUACAUCCAUUCAAAGUUCCAUCAAUAAUCUUACAUUUAGUCAUCCACCCAAAAUACUUAUGUUACACUUUAAUUCCUAAAUCAAUCAACAAAAAAAAAAAUUAAAGCUGAACAAAUUUCACAAAAGGAAUAAUACAUAAAUUAAAAAUCCCGGCCGCUAUCUACGCCCAAUCCCUUCCUCGUCUCUUCCGCCGCCUCCGUCAAGCUAGGAACCCAUUAGGUUAUGUUGUUGAAACACAACUAAGUCAAGGCUCGGCAUCAGAUUCCUCGGCUGACUUACCCACUAGGGUCCAUCCAAAGGCUAAGUAUUUCAAAGAGGAAAAUAACACUACUAAUGCAACUAAUACUAUCCUGCAGAAAAAAGUCAGUAGACAUAUUUAAUUUAAUGGUACAACAUGACAAUGCAUUAUGCUCAAAUCAUAAUCAAACUGGCUCUUACCUCAAUCUCCGAUUAACCUGUUCCCAAUACCACAACCCAAAAUCAUUAAACGGAGACCAGAACUCCCUAGGAUCCGGGCAACUGGACUUAUUACCACGCCCAGGUGACCAAAUCCGACGCACCCUCGAGGGGAGCGGGACCUACCUCAAACCAAGACAAAUUAGUACAGAUCUAAUCCUCAACUAGACCUCAUAGCCACUCUAGCCAAGAUGCCAAGUCACGAUAGUCCUACCUAAUUUCAAUCUUCCACUUCACAAGGCUUUACUUCCGACAUUCAAAAACGUUAAAUCUCUAUCAAAGGUUCAUCUCGUCAAAUCAAAUCUUGUAUUCUAAUGUCCCAUGUCCCCUUGUUUCUAUUGUCAAGUCAUAAUCACAUCACAUCAACCUUGCUGGUCCAUCAACAUGCCAUUUUGGUUUAUCAUUCUCUAAUUCAACUAACUUAAAGCAUAUAAAUAGUAUAACAAGUUCCACAUUAACUCCCUACUAUGCAUAAUGGUAUAAUAAAACAUAAUCAAAAUAGAGAAACUAGUAUAUAGGAAUCCAACGAUUCCGGCGUGCACCCCCCACCUCUAUUGGUUGUGUGGGUGUAGAUUACGAAGGCCCCCGCACUUUACGAAAGCCGAUUCCGCGCCCUAUAAUCAAAAUAGUGCCAUAUUAGGCCUUUUUGUGCAUGAACUAUACUCUAUCAUUUUCGAAAUGUUAAAUGAAGUUGUCCCGCGCGUUUAGGACGCCCCCAAUUAGGUUUCUACGGGGUCAAUUUGUCCCCAAAAAAUCCUAGGGCAAAAGCCCCAAUUCCAAGCCCUAAUAUUGUCAUUUAGGAUUUUCCCAUGAAUCGAUCUCAAUCCUAAGCAAACGAUAGCUUAGAAUCAUCUAAGAAGCACUCUAAUAAGGUUUCUAGACCUUUGGUACCAACCCUAGGGCUCCAAACACCAUUUCCAAGGAUUCACCAUGAGAGCACCUUGAGCUCUCAUGGGUACCAUGGUAUUCAUGGCUCAAAAGAGCCCCUAAAGCCUCUAAGGAGCACAAGCCUCCAAAUCCCUAAGCCAAAAUCCAAACCCUAGAGGAAAAACCUACAAAACUUACCUCUAGUCCAAGCUCCACCAAGAUUCUUCUUGUUGGAGAGCUCCUAGAACCUCCAAAGCAUCAAAUCCACCUUCUUCCUCAAGUUCUUCUUCUUCUUCUCCAAGCCCUAGAAGGAUUCUAGAGAGAGAAAGUGAGGAAAUAAGAGAGGAGGAGGAGAAUGGCUGUGGGAGAGAGGGGUUGGGCCAUCUAUAGUGUUGUAACAAUUGCACUUAAGCCCCUCCACUUGUUUCCUCUUGAACUGCCCAGACUGGGCAUUUUUCGCCUUCGGGGACCGGUCUCCCCGACCAGGGACCGGUUCCCGAACGG
rnacentral:lncRNA from 1 species